UACGUAGGGACCAAGCGUUGUCCGGAAUCAUUGGGCGUAAAGCGCGCGUAGGCGGCCCGGUAAGUCCGUUGUAAAAGCCAAAGGCUCAACCUUUGAAUGCCGAUGGAUACUGCCGGGCUAGAGUCCGGAAGAGGCGAGUAGAAUUCCUGGUGUAGCGGUGGAAUGCGCAGAUAUCAGGAGGAAUACCCAUAGCGAAGGCAGCUCGCUGGGACGGUACUGACGCUAAGGCGCGAAAGCGUGGGGAGCGAACAGG
rnacentral:rRNA from 1 species